GAUGAACGCUAGCUACAGGCUUAACACAUGCAAGUCGAGGGGAAACGGCAUCGAAAGCUUGCUUUUGAUGGGCGUCGACCGGCGCACGGGUGAGUAACGCGUAUCCAACCUGCCCAUCAUUUGGGAAUAACCUUGCGAAAGUAAGACUAAUGCCCAAUGACAUCCCACGAAGGCAUCCGAAUGGGAUUAAAGAUUUAUCGGUGAUGGAUGGGGAUGCGUCUGAUUAGCUUGUUGGCGGGGUGACGGCCCACCAAGGCAACGAUCAGUAGGGGUUCUGAGAGGAAGGUCCCCCACAUUGGAACUGAGACACGGUCCAAACUCCUACGGGAGGCAGCAGUGAGGAAUAUUGGUCAAUGGGCGAGAGCCUGAACCAGCCAAGUAGCGUGCAGGAUGACGGCCCUAUGGGUUGUAAACUGCUUUUAUAAGGGAAUAAAGUGGGUCACGUGUGACUUUUUGCAUGUACCUUAUGAAUAAGGACCGGCUAAUUCCGUG
rnacentral:rRNA from 1 species